AAAGAUUCUUCGGAUGAUUUCCUAUUUGACUGAGCGGCGGACGGGUGAGUAACGCGUGGGUAACCUGCCUCAUACAGGGGGAUAACAGUUAGAAAUGACUGCUAAUACCGCAUAAGACCACAGCACCGCAUGGUGCAGGGGUAAAAACUCCGGUGGUAUGAGAUGGACCCGCGUCUGAUUAGGUAGUUGGCGGGGUAACGGCCCACCAAGCCGACGAUCAGUAGCCGACCUGAGAGGAUGAACGGCCACACUGGAACUGAGACACGGUCCAGACUCC
rnacentral:rRNA from 1 species